GAUUCAGUGAUGACUCUCUCUGUUUAUGAACAGCUGCAUGAAAUCCUUCAGGAGAAACUGCCCCUCCRGGCUGUUUAGAUUGGGAAAGAGAUCCCGAAUCCCUGUCAGCUGGGAGGAGCCAGGAUCAGACUGAGGAUGGAGCAGGGAGCUGCCAGCCAGGAGGAGCACGUGGAGACAGCUCCGGCCCUGCAGAGCCCUGUUGGAGUAGAGGUGGCUGCUGCCAGAGCACCUUCCCAAGAACUUCCAAUCUGUUUGAAGCUUCAGGCUGUACCUGGUGACAGUGUAGUGAGCCCAUGGACCUGCAGCCUGGGAGAAAUGAUGGAUGAGCUCUCCAGAGGGAGAAAAUCUUUGCAGUUUUAAAAUACAGCUUGUGUGAUGCCCUCAUCUUCAUUUCUUCCUCACAUCCCUUCACUUCCAGCAWGCAUCCUGAGCACAACCCACAGCUACAGACCUGCAGGAACCUGAAUUAAAAGGGAGAAAAAUGGUUUACAACAGCCUGUGGCAGCGAUGUAGCAAGAGGCCUUAUGUAAGAGCUGGCUCACAGAGGAGAGGUGGAGGAAUGAGUGAUCCUGGAAGGAUGUUUCUCUGAGGUGUGUUCUGUGCCUGGGCUGGGAACAGCAGUCUCAAGGGCACAAAUUCCAGCAUCUGAAUGUGCUUGGUCUUGUUCAACUCAUUAAUUUCCUGCAGGUAUCCCAAGUCAAGCUGCGAAAUCUCCUAGUGCUUUGCUCCAAGCCUUUCGUGGCCUGUCAAUAAAUUAUUUUCCAAUUAACUACCUGAUAAUUUGAGUCUGCAGGCUUUUAAAGGAGGCAGUGUGGUGUGAGAGRGAAGAUAAURGAAGUCACAGACUUUACCCUGCCCRURAAAAUGAAUAAAAGUUCUUUGAAGCAUUAUUCAACUUGGUGCUUCCAAAAGGGGCUCAGGACUCCAGAGUGUGAAACACUGCCUGCCUUASGAAUUAGCUGAUCUCCCUUGUACAAUGGGCACCUUCUCACUGAAGCUGCUAUUUCAGAUUUCCCUGAUGCUGUCAAAGUCUCUCACUCCUUUGAAAGCGUUGAAUUCUUUCUGCUUAGCUCAGUCAUUUAAUUGAAAGAAAAUCAACUUAAAACAGAUAAAAUACUGUCUUAAACCAAGUGCAGCUAUGGGCAAAGAAGAAAAAAUACCAGCAUAAUCCACAGUUAACACUCGAUCUCUUCAGCGUUUAUACCACAUGAUGGGAACCCGUGUGCUCUCCCAUUGCUUGUAGGAGGC